UACUAAAGUUCUCUCCAAACUCACGGAGACCUACGGCCACUUAGCAGUGAAAAUGGGAAAGCUAUCAGAGCAAAAUGUUUUACAUUGUCGUGAAGAGUUAUCGCAAGGUAUGGCGAUUAUGAAACAAAGGUACACAAUGAUAAAAUUAGUCGAUUCAUCUGAAGCUGGCUCGCUUGUAGUACACAAGUAGAAAUGUACAAGUAGAAUCCCAUGGCAGAUAACUCAGACGGCGAGAAGCGUAAAUUUAAAGCUUAGACCCGAGCGGAAAGUGAACUAAAGGAGGACAAAAAGAAGAGGAGGACACGUCGUUAUACGCCUAGUUUGAAACAAAGACCUAGAUCCAGUUCUGAAAAACUUUCGUCGGGGGCAUCGAAACCAGGGCCCUGUUUUGGCUGUGGGGACAAGGGCCAUUGGAAAAAGGAAUGUCCAGAGGAACAGAAAGAUAAGUGAAGAUUUUAAUCUUUUGCAUCUGCAAUCUAGUGAAAGUAAAAUUCAAUGAAGUAUAUAAAUGUUUUGAAAUACAAUUAGUCAACCGUGAAAGUUAUGAAUGAGUGUGAGAGCGUAGUAGAUUACAUUUACUCAGGCAUGUUACAGGUGAUUAAAUCUUACACUUAAAUCUCCAGUUUGAUAUUUACGCGAGUCUGUCCAUCAUUGGCAAAGGAUAGGAGUCAGUAAGAAUGUUAUCGCAGUAAUUAAAAAGGGUUAUAUUUUACUUUUCAAACUUGAACCCCAGAAGGUCAUACUGAAAAAUAAUUAGUCUGCGGAACAGAAUCUGGACUUUCUUUGAAAUUGCUAAGUUGAUAUCCAAGGGUUGUGUGACCAAGUGUUCAAAUCUUCCAAGUUCUAGACUGAAAUCAUAUAAAUGUUUUCCCUCAUUCAAUUUAAAUUCAAGUACGAAAAUACUGAGGUAGCCAGGGUAUUGUUUGAGAAGGAUAAUUUCAUAAACAUUUUUAUCUGAAGUCAGCGUAUCACCAUAACAGAGUCGAUAAAAGAAUUCAGAUAUAUCUGGGAUUUUAUUGACAAAGAAAAUACAAUGUAUACAAAUUACACAGGUUUGCCAUUUGGUUAAGCUACAACUGGUUUCGUUUUUACUAAGGAAACGAGAGAAAUCACUAAGUUGUAGAGAUCAGCAGGUGAAAAGACCAUUAUAGUAUCUGGACGACGUCAUUGACGGGGCAGAUUCAAAACAACAGACCUUCAUUUUAGGCUUCAUGAUUCAAAACGAUUUGAAAUGAUUCGGUUUCAUAAUCCAUUCCAUGUUAAAAAAUAAAUUGGUUAGGAUUGGUUUGGAACUUGUUACGGUCACUUACGCAAAACACAAGAAAGAUUAAACAAGUUACUUGGCUCUCUCGAGUUAGUGUUGCCUGAGUUGAGCACUGGAAACAGAGCUGUAUCAACAGCACGAAAGGCAGCUAGAGAAUGACCAAUUCUCUUCCCCUACACUGACCACUGACGUUCCUAACAUCUGAUUAGCUAACGCCGAUAGAACCGUUUAUCACAAUUUAUAAAACGUUCGGAUCAUCAAUACAAUAAAAUACAAAUACUAUGAAACGUGGGAAAAUGUUAAAAUGCAAUACCUAUCUCCAACCCCUCACUUAUUUAAAAACUGUUUUCAUUGGAGUUAUCGAAUUUUUUAUGUAUAAGGCAAAGAUAACAAACGGUGAUCAAGUUCACAAAUCCUAUAAGCAAUACAAAAUAGAGAGUUAGGCAAACACAGACCCCUGGAUAUACCAGAGGUGGGAUCAGGUGCCCGGGAGGAGUCAACCGUUCACACCCGCUGUGAGCCCUAUAUCUCGAUCAGGUAAACGGAUUUUUCAGUGGUCAAAAUCAGUGUGCCAAGAACGGCCUAAUAAUUGGAAUGAAACACGUCAGACAGCAUAUGUCCCAAUGAUAGGUCGUAUUGGCAAACCAGAUCGCUAUACCAACCACAAAACUUUAAACGAGACUGUUGAAACCCCUGUAAUAUCAACUUGUUCGUCAGUAGCCUAUUUCGAUUUUAAAACUGAUCAUACGGAAAACAAGCCAUGCACAUUGAACCAGCCGAUAUAUACAAACACCAGACGCAGGCGACAAUAGAACACCGCCACACAAACACCGGAAGUCGACGAUGGAAAAGCCGAAAUUACCCCGCCUGCCACAAAAUGGAGGUGUCAGCCCGCCGUCAAUAUUAAUCUCCAACAAAACAGCCGAGCAGGAAGAAAAUGUGCGCGACUCUGCGCUGUCCCCCACCCCAUUGAAUUGACAUAUGACUGAAAACUAUUACUUUCCAAAGAUAAAACGUCGUCGAUAUAUCAAUAUGUCGAAUUGAUGGUCACAGCAAUAGACUCCUUCUCUUCACGCAGAAGCCUCCGAACAAACUCAACAAAGGAACACAACCCGUGCCCACAGGAAUUCCAACAGAUUGUUAUAAAACGCAAUUACUAAAGACCACGAAGACACUGUAAAUGAAGAACUCCAGCAUAUCUUUAUCCCAACUUCAGAGUACUUGAGCUUGGAAUCAGAGUGGUAUCCGACUUUGCAAUUUCUUGAAUAACUGAUAACUAGAUAUGAACAUCUUUGUUUUCCAUUUCUGUCCACGAUUACAAAAAGUAUAGUUUUUAACUUAUCGUUAGGAAGGGUCGCAUCUUUAGUGUUGAAAAGUCAAACGUCCUGAUGUUGUUGAUUUAAGAAAAGUUCUGUGAUUUUAAAUUUAAAUCUAAAUUUAGAUUUAGUUUUGAAACCUUUUAGAAUCGACAUUUAAUUUACACCACUUCUGGCAUACGUAUUUGCAUAGUUCGUUUGAGGUUUCUCCUUCACAGCUUUUGAUAUGUACGCGAGGAGCAAAGAUAUGGGCUUGGUAAAACAUUUACUGGAUCAAAGAAUGUAAUUCUUGUAAGUAUUUUUGUGAAUAUUGGGAAUCCAGUAUAGGUACGGUAACUCAUUCAUCUGACCCAUUGACGGGGAUAAUAAAUGUGUCUAAACCUUGCAGCAUGGUUUUGAAGAAUUUCACGUUUUGAAAGGACAGUUAAGGUAUAAGUAGGAUUACCUAAAGUGGAAUUAAUGCAAAGUUCAUAUGAAAUACACUUAUGAUAAUGAGCCUUACAAACAAAGACAAUAUUGUUACAAUCUUUGUCAGUUGAAAAAAAACCCAUAUUUUUCAUGUAACCUAUUUAAUUCUUUUAUCACCUCUAGUUUACUAAACAAAGAAGGAUAGAUGGAGGGAUUAAAGUGGCUACUCCUCCAGGCACUUCAUCCGGUGCUGAAUUAGAAACUGUUCUAACAAUCUACAUUGAGGCAAAACACCAAGGGGGAAUUUAUUCCAGUUUAACAAUCGAGGCGGAGAAUCGAUGUUGGGCUGACAUAACGUCACGCCCAUCGUCUAGCAAACUCUUUGGCAGAAUCCAUGACAGAGAUGAAGUUCUAUCGCCAAUUGAAAAACUGGGGAUGAGAAAGGAAAAUCAUCCAUCAACCGCGGUAGUUUAAUAAACUUUUGAUUGACAACAUCCAUAAUCAUAAGAGUUCAGUCUAUAUUCGUGUGUGGAAAAAUCCCAGUAGAGACUAGAUUUGGCAUCUUCAAAUAAGGCAUCGAAAACUCUCAAUGGAAUAGAGUAAAGUUUGGUAGAUAUAUGAUAUGAACAUAAUUGUUUGUUAACGUAAGGUAAAGGUGAGUCAAGUGUUUCAUCUCAAUUUUUAGACCGUUCUGUUUACUAAUUUUGACUAUGGAUUACUCCGUUUACCUGAUCAAGUAUAAAGCUCACAGCCUGUGUAACCCGCCAAUAAUGGAUGCUUACUCCUCUUAAACACUUGAUCCCACCUCUGGCGUAGGAAGGGAUUCAUGUUUGCCCUAAUGGUAAUUUUGUGUUUUUAUGAAAAUUAUGAUUCUGUUCGCAUUCUUCAUUUUUUUUCAAAAACACGAAAUUGUACGCACUAUAGCUACUGCUUUUAUUUAUAAUGAUGAAUUCCGUAUAUUCUUCCUUGUAACAAAGGGAACAUUUACUCAUCCAUACCUUCACCCAGUUAGUAGAAGAGCAUGUGUCACGUGUGGUUUUCCUAUAUAGCUAGUAAGGUAACUUAUUCUACCCAUAUUCAUUAAAACUGAUUUUAUGUUUGAAUUAUCACCGACACAUUUUUAAAUGAAAAACACCUGAUCAAAAUCUGCCAAAAGAUUGUUUUACAUACACAGCAAUACGAAAAUUCAUGAAUUCAUUUUAGAAUGAUAAUUUGCUAUAUGUAUGUAAUUUUCGAAGUAAAUAGUUCUAUAACAACUGGUUCUCUUAAACUAUCAAAUUAGCCCAUGGGUCUGAAUUACUAGUGUGUAAAACUUAUACGGUACCAAUUUUAUGCACCAGAUGCGCAUUUCGACAAAUAAUGUCUCUUCAGUGAUGCUCAACCGAAAUGUUUGAAAUCCGAAAUAAAAAUGAAGUUUUAGAACUAUUAUAGGGAAAAACAGUGUGCCCAAAAAGUGGAGUCAAAUUCGUCUAAAGACAAGGGGUAUGUGUGAGGGAGAUACUCCUUAAUUUGGAAAUGAAUUUCUAAAUUUUAUAACAGCAAUUAAAUAUACAUCCGUAAUUUCAAAGUAGUAACGAAGUAUUUAGCUACUAGGCUGUAGAGACCCUCGAGGACUAACAGUCCACCAGCAGAGGCAUCGACCCAGGGGUCAUAAUGUAAAACUUAUACGGUACCAAUUUUGAUGCACGGGAUGCGCAUUUCGACAAAUACUGUCUCUUCAGUGAUCCUCCCACAUGAUGGAUUAAAUAUCGGCAAAAUUACACUCGAAGUAAAACGGUGAAUACCAUCAUGUACUCUGUGCAGUGUUGAUGAGUUUGAUCAUUUUUCUCUUAUUUUCACAUCUUCAUGAUUGAAAGUGAAUAUUGUUCACAGAUAGAAUGUCACUGACAUAUCUAUAUUAUUAGUUUAAGGCCAUAAAAAGACAUAUUUUCUCCUCAUGAAAAAGGCGAUUGAAAAAAAUCAACCUAAAAGAACACAAAGCAGGUCAACUAAUAAAGGAAGAAAACCUGUGUCCAUGAGAAUUCUAGCAGACGGAUUGAUGGUUUCAGGCAUUUUCUGUGCAAGCCUAACUCUUGCGCUUAGACCUUUAACUAUCCUAUCUCGGUCCGCAUUUAAAAAACACUAUCGUAUAAUACUCUCUUAUGAUUAGCUAUAAAACAUAAGUUAAUUCCACCCGAGGACUGCAAAAAAGCGGUAAAACCCAGGACUUUGCUUAGGGUUUACCUGUUUUUGCAACCUCGCGGGUGGAAUUACCUUAAUAUUUCAUGACUACUCAUAAAAGAGAAUUUUCUCUCAUAUUUCUUAUUAAGUUUUGGUUUUCCCAUAUUGAAAUUUUCAAAUUGAUUGAAUUAUCGUUAUACAUAAAAAAUGACCCCAGAAUCGGAUUCUACGACCUUAAUUUCGGCAACUAUGUUGCUAACAGAAUAUCAACCGAUUAAUGAUUGGGUGAAUAUUAUUAGAAUGAUUCUUCUUUGAGUAAAAUCACCUAGAGUUGUUAACAUGCCUGCAUACACACAGAACAGUUCUUGUUUUACUGAUCUAUUCAUUAUAUAUUUCAAUAAACAGUGAUAAACUUUAUCACCAAUACUUUAAGUAUAGUAUAUAUAAAACCUACACGUAAUGAAAAUGAGACUUUAGUCCUAUAAAUCAACAUAGGGAUGACGCGUGACGUCAUUUGUCCUACAUCUAGAGGAAGUCUUUCGGUGCAGCUCGAAGUCAUUUGAUCUUCUAUUAAGUCCCAUGCAGUCAAAAUCGCACGUUUCAUUUCAAAGGAGCAUUGUUAUUGAUAUUAAAUACAGUGUGUAAACAGAGAUUCAAAGCGGUUUUUGUUAAUAAACAUAGACAUGGAUUUUACUUUUGUUUCCAAAUUGCCAAACCUACAAGGACUCAAGUCUCAUAUACAUUGAGGAAACAUAUGGAAGUUGCAAGAUAUAGAUAGCAUAGCUUGCGAUAUGCCAUAAAAUUGGAUAUAUUAGUAUUAAGUUCAUUGGGUGUAUUGAAUGAAUCACAUUAUUUUGUUUUCUUAGAAGAAAUUCCGUCAGUAAUUUAAGAUUACUAGCUGCUUUCACCAUUGUGUUCUUAUUUUCAUUAGCUCUAUAACAUCAUCUACGUUUAAAGGCCGAAAUCUUGAAGAUGCUGAACAUCACGUUGUUAUGACUGUUGCUUUUAAAAUGUUCAAGCAGACGAAUUAACUGUUCAUCUCCAUAACUACGUCACGUGAUAUGAAAGAUAAACAUAUGUUUUAUACUUUUUUUUCAGAGGAUACCCCACCUCUGGUAUAUCCAGGGGUCUGUGUUUUCUCAACUCUCUAUUUUGUAUUGCUUACAAGAGUUAUGAGAUUGAUCAAUGUUCGUUAUCUUCACCUUUCAUCUGUAUCUUACAUGCAUAAAUGUUAGAAGUUUUGAAUGCCAAAACUGAAGUCAUACCACCCUGGUGGUAUGAACAAAUUGUGUGACUUUACCAGAAUGAAUAAUGGCUAGCGAUGUAAUGAAAGGCGAAAAUAACGAACAGUUAUCAAUCUCAUAAAUCCUAUAAGCAAUACAAAAUAUAUAGUUGGACAAACACGUACCCAUGGGCACACCAGGGGUGGGAUCAGGUGCCUAGGGGGAAUAAGGAUCCCCUGUCGACAGAUCACACCCCCACCGUGAGCCCUAUAUCCUGAUCAGGUGAUCUCUGAUGUAUACGCAUUGAGGCGAUUCACGUAAUCCAUGUACUGGUUCUGUCUGCUUAUACUGCAUGUGAGUGUUCCUGUACUACUAGCAUUGCCAAACUCUACUUCACCUACAUGUACCAGCUUAUUAUACCUGGAUGAGUUAUAAUGCGAAAUCUCUGAAAUGCGUGUUACAACAAUGGAUACCAAGAGGUGACAUAAACAACAUGUGCAAGUAUCCUUACCAUGUGUGAGCAUCGCAUUGUGAACCAAUGAACCAUUGAACGUUCUAUUUACCUGUAUACUGGUCGAAGUUUUCAUGAAAUAGACUGUCUAUCUUAAAGCAAAGUACAUUGGCUUAUUGUCAUAUGUUGUGUAAUUUGAGUUUGUAAGUUUUGAGUGCUAGUGAGAGUGUAGAGUGUGAAUGGUUUUGUUUGUAUCCUUUCUGUGUGAAUAAAGUUAUUUCUCGUU